GACGAACGCUGGCGGCGUGCUUAACACAUGCAAGUCGUACGUUAAGGCCCUUUCGGGGGUACACGAGUGGCUAACGGGUUAGUAACACGUGAGUAACCUGCCCACAACUUUGGGAUAACGCUAGGAAACUGGUGCUAAUACUGGAUAUGUGCUCCUGCUGCAUGGUGGGGGUUGGAAAUCUCCGGCGGUUGUGGAUGGACUCGCGGCCGAUCAGCUUGUUGGUGGGGUAGUGGCCUACCAAGGCGGCGACGGGUAGCCGGCCGGAGAGGGUGACCGGCCACAUUGGGACUGAGAUACGGCCCAGACUCCUACGGGAGGCAGCAGUGGGGAAUAUUGCACAAUGGGCGAAAGCCGGAUGCAGCAAAGCCGCGUGCGGGAUGAAGGCCUUCGGGUUGUAAACCGCUUUCAGCAGGGACGAAGCUUUUUGUGACGGUACCUGCAGAAGAAGCACCGGCUAACUACGUG
rnacentral:rRNA from 1 species